GACGGCCAGAUCACGUUAAAAGACCGGUUCCCGUUCGAUCACCGAAGUUAAACAAAUUUGAGCCUGGUCAGUACCUAGAUGGGUGACCGCUUUAGAAUGCCAGGUGCUGUAAG